rnacentral:misc_RNA from 1 species
GAUGAAGAACGCAGUGAAAUGCGAUAAGUAGUGUGAAUUGCAGAAUUCAGUGAAUCAUCGAAUCUUUGAACGCACAUUGCGCCCCUUGGUAUUCCAUGGGGCAUGCCUGUUCGAGCGUCAUUUGUACCUUCAAGCUCUGCUUGGUGUUGGGAGUUUGUCUCGCCUCUGCGUGUAGACUCGCCUCAAAACAAUUGGCAGCCGGCGUAUUGAUUUCGGAGCGCAGUACAUCUCGCGCUUUGCACUCAUAACGACGACGUCCAAAAGUACAUUUUUACACUCUUGACCUCGGAUCAGGUAGGGAUACCCGCUGAACUUAAGCAUAUCAAUAAGCGGAGGA